CGCGUGCCGGCCGGGGGACGGAC
rnacentral:siRNA from 1 species